rnacentral:rRNA from 1 species
UACGUAGGGUGCGAGCGUUGCCCGGAUUUAUUGGGCGUAAAGGGCGCGUAGGCGGCUCGGCACGUCCGUUGUGAAAUCGCCCGGCUCAACUGGGCGGGGUCAGCGGAUACGGUCGAGCUUGAGCAAGCUAGGGGGCAAUGGAAUUCCCGGUGUAGUGGUGGAAUGCGUAGAUAUCUGGAGGAACACCGGUGGCGAAGGCGGCAUCCUGGACCGACACUGACGCUGAGGAGCGAAAGCCAGGGGAGCAAACGGGG